AUUUGAAAGGAUCACUAUAGGGUCAGGAACACAAACAUGUAUUCCUGACCCUAUAGUGUUAACACCACCAUCUAGCCCCCCCAGGUUCCCUCAUGCCUCCAUAAAUAUAGUAAAAAUCUUACUGUAUUCAAGCCUGAAGCUGUAAACCUGCAUGCUGUUAGACUUAGAAAAACAAGCAGUCUGCUGACAUGUGGUAGCCUGAUCCAAUCAUAGUGCUUCCCCAUAGGAUUGACUGAGACUGACAAGGAGGCAGACCAGGGGCAG